rnacentral:lncRNA from 1 species
ACCUGGCCAAUGUUUUUGUGUUUUAAAAAAUGAACACAAUGAGCACAUGUUCAUUGGAUAAUAAGUUAUUAAAAGUGAUUAUGAGGCAACCACCAGCUCACUUUGAUCACCACAGCAGUGAAACGAGGCUACAGAGCCAUGGCUGAGGGAAAACUUAAGGGUACAGUCAUCUGGAAUCUUUCAUUAGAAGCUGUGUAAGUAACACCAAAAUAAAAGUGACAACCAACUGUCUAGGAAGAGCCACGUGCUUCACAAAGGGCAGGACAAGCAUUGCCAUGUCAUAAUCGGCAGCCUCACCUGCUGUAUUAGUCCCUUUGUGUUGUUAUAAAAGAAUACCUGAAGCUGGGUAAUUUUUAAAGAAAAAAGAGUUAUUUGGUCCAUGACUGUGGAGGCUGGAAGAUUGAGCAUCUGGUGGAAGCCCCAGGCUGUUUCUGCUCAUGGCGGAAGGUGCAGGGGAGCUGGCACGUGCAGAGAUCACACAGUGAGAGAGGAAGCAAGACAGAGAGGAUGCCCCAGCAUAGGAUGCCCUGUCAGUACCCCAGAGAUCAUGAUCCUAGGAAGAAGAAACUCAUUGUCUGCCAUUGCCUCCACCUCCCUUGACUUACUCGCUCCAGGCCACCAGAAUCUAGACUUGACCUUUAAUUGCAGAAGGACAUCUCCCUGCUGCAGGCAGUCGAUCAGAGAUCUUGGCUCUAAUCUCCACGUAUGUAUCACUGAUUCUCAAAAGAGGAAAAUUAAGGAGUGUCAAAAAGAGAACGAGAGAGAAGCAGGAUGCUCUGGAGAAUGAAGUGAGUAUUUAUUAGGCAUCUACCAUGUUUUAGACAAUGCCGGGUACUUCAGAUACAUGAUCACACCAGAAUUCCCAAUAGCCCUGCAAACAGGUAUCAUUUCUCCAAUUUAAUGAAUGAAAAAAACUGAAGCUCAUAGGGUUUAGAUAUUUUGUCCAUGGUCACACAGGUAGUUUAUGCCAGAGAUGAGCUUUAAAUUCUGGCCAGCUUAACAUUACAGCCAGUGCUGGUCUACUGUGCAACCCUGCAGUCAGCAAUCACUGCAGACACGAUCCAACCAGUCUGAACCUCUUUCCCACAU